rnacentral:lncRNA from 1 species
CUGGAUGUGAAGAGCAGCCUUCUGUCUAGAGACGGCUGAGCCUAAAACAAGUCUAGUUCAGCCUUCCAGAGGCUGGAAAGGAUGAAUGCACAUCUCACCCAACAGUUUUAGGCAGGCAGAAGAUAAAUUCCAGGCUCCGUUUGCUCCCGAAGGGUGAUGCUUGGAAGUAGCAGAUACGACUGAAAGUAAAAACUUCCACAAAAUGCACGAGAGAUCGGCAAAGAAUUCCAGAACACAUCCAACGUAGAAGACUCUGUCUUGAAUCUGGUUGGAAGCCACGCCAUGCAUUCUGGGAGCAAAGGGUUUGAUACAACACUAGAAUCUUGAACAGCUGUGGGAACGAGGGUGUCAGGGCAAUGCACAGAAACCAGAUGUAUCUUCCCAUCAUACGAAACAGUAAGUUUCCAGCUGUUAAACACAGUUAGAGUGUGAUUUUC